GAUGAACGCUGGCGGCGUGCCUAAUACAUGCAAGUCGAGCGAACAGAUGAGGAGCUUGCUCCUCUGACGUUAGCGGCGGACGGGUGAGUAACACGUGGAUAACCUACCUAUAAGACUGGGAUAACUUCGGGAAACCGGAGCUAAUACCGGAUAAUAUAUUGAACCGCAUGGUUCAAUAGUGAAAGACGGUUUUGCUGUCACUUAUAGAUGGAUCCGCGCCGCAUUAGCUAGUUGGUAAGGUAACGGCUUACCAAGGCAACGAUGCGUAGCCGACCUGAGAGGGUGAUCGGCCACACUGGAACUGAGACGCGAUCCAGACUCCUACGGAAGGCAGAAGUAGGAAAUCUUCCGCAAGGGGCGAAAGCCUGACGGAGCAACGCCGCGUGAGUGAUGAAGGUCUUCGGAUCGUAAAACUCUGUUAUUAGGGAAGAACAAAUGUGUAAGUAACUAUGCACGUCUUGACGGUACCUAAGCAGAAAGCCACGGCUAACUACGU
rnacentral:rRNA from 1 species